GGCGCCCGAAACUUUAUUUUUCCUUCCUAGCAGAUAGCAUUAGGCAGUGAGAAGUUAUUAGGUUUGGAAGGAGAAAACAAUCUGCCCAAAUUUGAAGCCAUGAGAUGAUAGGCUGAUGGACAGCAUCUCACCUAAGGAGCUAGGCUUUGAGGCCAUCUCACAUUUUUUUCUUCCUACGAGGUAGACACAUGUAGCUGCCGAGCCCCGACAUGGGUUUUGGAGGAGGGGGACAACAGAAGCACGUCUCUGGUGCCCAGACCCCAGGGCCUGCCUUGCUGAAGCCACUGUUUCUUGUAGAUCCUGAGCUUGAAGAGGCGGCCGCAGACGGUCCUCCCCCUGCACUUCCUCUAGCACCCCCACUGCUUUGCACCCCAUCCUCUGUCCCCUGUCGGAACGGGGAGGGAUGCGUUUCUUAGGAGAACCUCUGCGAUGGCAAGCCGGACUGUCAGGACGGCUCGGAUGAAGGCGACUGUUCCCGGUUCUGCAACGGGCCAGGAGUCUUCCAGUGUCUGAACAGAAACCAGUGCAUUGAGGAGAAAUACCACUGCGAUGGGGCUCAGCAGUGCUCUGAUGGGUCUGACGAGCUGGGCUGCUGGAAGCCCACUGAAGAUUGUUCUUUACGUUGUGACAACAAGACCCGCUGUAUCUCUAAGAGCUGGCUGUGUGAUGGCAACCCAGACUGUUCUGACCAGAGAGAUGAGCAAGGAUGCAUUCGUGCAAAAUGCAGUGCCCCUGAAUUUCAGUGCGAGAAUAGCCAGUGCAUCUCAAACUCUCUGCAUUGUGAUGGGAACCGAGACUGCCAGGACCACUCCGACGAGGACGGCUGUUCUGUGGCCUGGCCGCUGCGGUGCCCGUCAGGGGAGGUGAAAUGCCAGGGGAGCAGAGAGUGUGUGCCCACGGAGUGGCUGUGUGACCGUGACUUCAACUGCGAAGACGGAACUGACGAGAAGGACUGUGACCUGGAGGAGCUUCGCUAUGGCUCCUGGCAGUGGUCCUGUGCCAGCGGAGACCAGUGCGUGCCUGACAUGUGGCGCUGUGACAGCCAGAGAGACUGUGAGGAUGGCAGCGACGAGGCUGGGUGCCCCCCCGAGAAGUGCCAGAGCUCUGAGUUCCAGUGCCGCUCCCAUGGCUGCCUCGACCUCCGCCUGGUGUGUGACAGGAAGGAGGACUGUGCCAACGGCUCCGACGAAGGGGGAAGGUGCUCGUCGUCAACAUGCAGCCACACGCAGUGUUCCCACGCCUGCUACCAGUCCCCACAUGGUCCUGUAUGUGCUUGUGCGCAAGGCUUUGAGCUGGGGAGCAGUGGCCAUGUCUGCAAGGAUGUGGAUGAGUGCCAGAAGCCGGGAAGUCAGCCUUGCAGUCAGACCUGUGUCAAUACCCAGGGCUCCUACAGCUACACCUGUCACCCUGGCUACUUGCUGGAGCCCGAUGGCCACACCUGUAAAGCAACAGGUACCGAACCGAUCCUGCUGGUGGCAGUUCAGUUCAACCUCCUCCUCUAUGGCUUGAGGAGCUUGAAGGAAGAUAUUCUGACAACUGUAGACAAGAACGUGACGAUUGUCUCUAUUGACUAUGACUUAGUGGGCCAGAAAGUCUUCUGGGCGGACCUCAGUGCAGAAAGCGUUGAGUGGAUGAGUAUGGACGCAAAGAAGAGAGGGACCGUGGUGAAGGGGGUAAAGUCAGACUGUGUCGCAGUCGACUGGAUUGGGAGGAAUCUCUACUGGGUGGAUGGGACAGCUGGCCAGAUUUCGGCAAUUCCGCUGACCGCUGCGUGGAGAGGAAAAUCUGAGCACACGAUUGUCCUGGAUGGCGACGUGACUCAACCACGGUCUUUGGCUGUAGAUCCCCUAAGUGGGUUAAUGUACUGGUCUGAAAUCGGAGGAGAACCUCAAAUAGAACAAGCAGGGAUGGACGGUAGCAGCAGAAAAGUCCUCAUCAGUCAAGGUCUUGGCUGGCCAACCAGCAUAGCUCUCGAUUGGUUGAGCUGGAAGAUAUUCUGGUCUGAUGACAAAUUUCACUGUAUUGGCUCUGCUAACUUAGACGGUACUGGUGUUAGUAUGUUGCAGCUAACACAAAUUGAGAGCCCCUUUUUGGUCGCUGUGUUUGAAGAUGAAGUCUUCUGGUCUGAGGUGAAGACGAGAACAGUACAGCACAUGAAGAAGAUGACAGGCAAGAACAGGGCUGUCCUCAUCAAGCGUUCCCAACAGCCUUAUGGACUCAAGAUAAUGCAUGAAGUGCUCCAGCCCAAGUCACCUAAUCCUUGUCUGGACGCUGGCUGUUCUCACUUGUGCCUUCUGAGCCCACGACCCAAGGGAAGCUGUCACUGCCCACUUGGACUCCUGCUCGCAGAUGAUGGCAUCACCUGUGUUCCGCUCCAGGAGUCUGCAUUUCUGUUCCUUGCGUUGCCCACAGUUAUCAUGCAGGGACAGGACUCAGAGAGAGUAUGCAACAAGAUGGCUCCAGGUACAGAGUAGACCGCAGAGGAAUUGAGGGCCUUACCCUCUUUACAUUUGGCCAAGGCAUGAUGUUCUGGACGACAGUUGAUGAUGCCCAAAUCACUAAAGUUUGGUACAGCAAGGCAGAACUUUCAGAAAACCAGUGGUUCCAAAUUGACCAGAAGAUUGUGGAUUUGAAAGUUUAUAGUAAACUUAGUCAACAGGGUAGUAACAGCUGCUCAAAAGACAACGGAGGCUGCAGCCAUAUGUGUUUACCAAACCCUGAAGGACUGACUUGUAAAUGUCCCAGUGGGCACUCCUUGGCUAACCUAAGCAAAUGUGUUGAAGCCGCCCCGUGCUCUGAGCUGUCCCGGUCCUGUAAGGAUGGUCAGAAGUGCGUUUCCAUGGAGCAAGUUUGUGAUGGUCAUGCUGACUGGAUGGAUCUGAUGAGCUGAGCUGUACCUAUCCAGAUAAAACCCAUUCAACACCAACAUCUAAAAAUGCAGAGGCUGGAAAAAGGUUGACUCCAAAAGCUGCCUGGCCUCCUCUCCAAGCUACCAAGUCCACCAAGACUAGAUACCCGGAUCCAGAAGGGAUGAGUUAUCCUCUCAGAAAAACAUUAAUUCCUCCAAUUCCUGCUACAGAAAGCAAGACUUCAGAAACCAAGGAAAAAGGCGAGCUUGUUCAGCCCAAGGACUUACAGGGGGCAGAACAUCUGCCCUGCAGCACGGAUUUCUGCAAUGGGAGAGGGAUCUGUACAGUGGUGGGCGAGCUGAGGAAGUGCCGCUGUCUGAUGGAAUAUGGCGGACAGUUCUGUGAGGAGCCAGCGCGUGGACCUGCCCCUGGCUACAUCGUCCGCAGCUUCACUGUUGUCCCGCCAGUGGUGCUAGUUGCUCUGGGAGCGUUUGUCUAUUUCAGAAGAGAACACAAAUUAAAAAGGCGAGCAGCUCUUAAUGUCGUCACGGGAGAGUUCAAACCCAAGAAGCCUUCUAGGAUUAGUGGGGUUGGAAGUAUGACUCUUCCCCUAAGAACUUGUCCUCUGGGGAAGCAUUUAGGUGACGAAGCAGCCAUCACUUGUUAGAGGACCCGGAGAAACAAGAGAGGCCAUGUCUUUGAGACCCGGGGCAAAUGAUCUUAUAAGUGAUAGGAGGCAUUCGUGCGGGUAAAAUUUGCCUCAGCGGCAGUCUGCACAAUCUCAGGGAUGAAAUGAUGAGAUUCUUUACCAACGAGGCAGAGUUGGUGCCAAUGACAGGAGGAAGAAUUGAGAGAUGCGUUAGUUUGCUGGGGCUGCUGUAACAGAUACCACAGACUGCGUCUUACACGAGAGGUUGAUUUUCUUCGUUCUGGAGGCUGGAAGUCUGAGAUCAGUGCGUCUGUGGGACUGGUUUCUCCUUGGAUUAUAGAUGCAGACUUCUCCCUGUGUCUUCGCAUGGUCUUCCCUCUGUACUUGUCUGUGUCCUGAUCUCCUCUUAUAAGGACACCAGUCGUAUUGGAGUAGGGCCCAAGCUGAUGAGCUCAUUUUAACAUAACUACUUCUUUAAAGACUCUAUCUCCAAAAACAGUUACGUGCUGAGGUACUAGGGAUUAGGACUUCAACAUACUAAUUUGGAGGGGAUACAACUCAGCCCAUAGCAGGAGGUGAAAUGAACUCGGGAAAGAUUUAAAGCAAACACGUUAAGUUUUGCCCAAGAGCAAGAGAGAUUAAAGAAACAAACAAUAAUACAAUGCGGGCUUAGAGUAGGGACCACGACAAAAUUGGCUUUAGUAUAGGAAGUUGUAGGAACUGAAGGCGCUGUUGAGGUUACACGUGCUGGGAGGGACAUUAAGCAGCCUACGUCUCAAGAAAUACAUAAGGAAAGUUUGAAAAGUUAUGUUUCUGUCCAGCACUCACAGACUGAAGAAAAGGCCAGAAGAAAUGGUGUAUCUUUGCCCAAGAAAUCGUGCAGCAACAUCAAGAAAUUCGAACCGCCACAAAGAAAACGGCCAGGAAGAGGAGCACCUAAUGAAUAGUGAGACCUUUGUCAAGAAGCCUGUGAUGAGCAGGUAUGCCUGGGAAGUGUCUUUGAGGAGAGCAGAUGGUGAGAGACAGCUGAAGAAUGCCCCUUCUGAAAAAUCCGAGCUGGGUGAAAGUAGGCAGUGUUGACUGACAGAGCUUUCUGUGAUGGGAAUUGCUAACUUUACAAAGUGACUAACUUGAUAAAAAAGGAGCUGAAACAUCUCAAUGAAAAUUGUUUAUACAUUGCAUUGUGUACUGUUUUAACGUCUGUAACUUAUUGUAACUAUAUGCUAAAAUGGUAAUUUAUUAA